CAACAUUCAACAUUCCCCCACACUCCGCAAAUGUCGAAGGGAGAAACAAUGAACAGACACCAAGUAGCUCCAAAUGCGGACCUUCAGUGGAAGGUAAUAGAGUUUAAAUCAUACCCUCGACACCGUCCUUCAGCAAAUAGGGAUCCACAAUCAAAUUUUAACUCUAACGUAAGUGGCAAAGGUAAGUUUCUGAUGAAGGAUUAACCGGAGGUGGCGACUAAGGCUUUGAAUAAAUUAACUCAAUAAUUCCCAAUCCCCCACCCUAAAGAAGUCAUUUUAUUUUCACCAACAUAGUAAUGUGGGUCCCUUAAAUAGCAGUAAUUUAAUUAGUUCCCCUCGUUACUCUUCUAAAAAAAAUAUAAAAGUCAAUAAUUCCUUACUACUCUGAUGAAUGCAGAUCAAGAGCCUGUUGAGGAAUUAAAUUCUAUCCCUUCAACACUACUCACAUCACGUUUCUACACUACCACGCGUGGCAUCCAUGCAAAACGGUGCUUGCAAUAUUACUUCCACUGAACAAACUAAUAUUCGCUCAUUAAAUGAUACAAAUCUCCACAAUGAUUACUUAGAUAUAGAUUGGGCAAAUACUUCAACCACCUCUUCAGAUAUACACACUACUAUCCCCAUAAAUGAUACAACCUUAAUUGCUCCCUCAUCUCUAUAUAAUGGCUCUUCACAAUAG
rnacentral:lncRNA from 1 species